ACGGAAGGCAGCAGUGAGGAAUAUUGGUCAAUGGACGGAAGUCUGAACCAGCCAAGUCGCGUGAAGGAAGACGGUUCUAUGGAUUGUAAACUUCUUUUGUCCGAGGGUAAAGUGAGAGAUGCGUCUCUUAUUGCAAGUAUCGGACGAAUAAGGAUCGGCUAACUCCGUGCCAGCAGCCGCGGUAAUACGGAGGAUCCGAGCGUUAUCCGGAUUUAUUGGGUUUAAAGGGUGCGUAGGCGGGCUGUUAAGUCAGCGGUGAAACCCCCGGGCUCAACCCGGGGACUGCCAUUGAAACUGGCGGCCUUGAGUACGUUGGGAGUGCGCGGAAUGUGUGGUGUAGCGGUGAAAUGCAUAGAUAUCACACAGAACACCGAUCGCGUAGGCAGCGCACUACGCCGCAACUGACGCUGAGGCACGAAGGCGCGGGGAUCGAACAGGAUUAGAUACCCUGGUA
rnacentral:rRNA from 1 species